UACGUAGGGGGCAAGCGUUAUCCGGAUUUACUGGGUGUAAAGGGAGCGUAGACGGCAGCGCAAGUCUGGAGUGAAAUGCCGGGGCCCAACCCCGGAACUGCUUUGGAAACUGUGCAGCUCGAGUGCAGGAGAGGUAAGCGGAAUUCCUAGUGUAGCGGUGAAAUGCGUAGAUAUUAGGGGGAACACCAGUGGCGAAGGCGGCUUACUGGACUGUAACUGACGUUGAGGCUCGAAAGCGUGGGGAGCAAACAGG
rnacentral:rRNA from 1 species